UACAGAGGUCUCAAGCGUUGUUCGGAUUCAUUGGGCGUAAAGGGUGUGUAGGUGGCGCCGUAAGUCGGGUGUGAAAUUUCGAGGCUUAACCUCGAAACUGCAUUCGAUACUGCCGUGCUUGAGGACUGGAGAGGAGACUGGAAUUUACGGUGUAGCGGUGAAAUGCGUAGAUAUCGUAAGGAAGACCAGUGGCGAAGGCGGGUCUCUGGGCCGAUACUGACGCUGAGGAGCGAAAGCGUGGGGAGCGAACAGG
rnacentral:rRNA from 1 species